rnacentral:rRNA from 1 species
UACAGAGGGUGCAAGCGUUAAUCGGAAUUACUGGGCGUAAAGCGUGCGUAGCCGGUUAUGUAAGUCAGAUGUGAAAGCCCCGGGCUCAACCUGGGAAUUGCAUUUGAGACUGCAUAGCUAGGGUGCGGAAGAGGGAAGCGGAAUUUCCGGUGUAGCGGUGAAAUGCGUAGAUAUCGGAAGGAACAUCAGUGGCGAAAGCGGCUUCCUGGACCAGUACCGACGUUCAGGCACGAAAGCGUGGGGAGCAAACAGG